UGACCCCGUCUAUCUGAGUCUUCCCGAUCCAGCGAAUAAGGGGUUUCUUUGAACCCACCGGGUACGAGGUCUGAAGGAACAGUAACUCACCCCAAUAUGCCUAGCAUUGUGGGUUACACAAAUGUUAUCGGCCAAUAUACGAUUAAUACUAAACCCGGUAAAAAUAACACAAGGUUCCUAGUAUUAAUUACCACACAAUCAACACAUUCAACUUCAAGCAUGCCUAGCAUUGUGGAUUACACAAAUGCUAUAUGGCCAAUACAUGACUAAUACUAAACCCGGUAAAAUAACACAAGGUUUCAAGUAGUAAUCACAACCCAAUCAAACAUAUUCUAGAAUCUAGCAUAAAGACUAAUUCCAGAAUACCUAACUAUCCACAACUUAGCGAUAUCAUCUAAGCAUUCAGUAUUCGCUAACUAACCAAUCAAUCUAACCAUUAGCAUGCUACUAUGGUUCCCAAGCAAUAACUAAGCAUGCUAUCAACUCAAUCAACUAAACAUCAACUAUUAACUAAUCAAACCGUUACUCAGUUAGACCCGGCCUCCUGCCAUGAUCCAACUUCCAAGUAACGGGAACCUGCAUGAAAACAAGUCAGCAAUCAAUUGAUUAUAACUCACAGUGUUCUUUGCCAAUAAGCAGCUGGUU
rnacentral:lncRNA from 1 species